rnacentral:sRNA from 1 species
UCCGUGUACGAUGGCCAAACGGGCCAAACA